ensembl:lncRNA
AGACGGAAGCGCAGCGUUUUGUUAGGUUUACCGUUUGUAUAGUAGCAUAAGCAACUGGAGAUUUUGCACUGCACAAAUCAAAUGUAUGCUUUCAAGCCAAGCGCCAAGGGUUUUGCUAAAGAAAAUGACGUCGGUGAAUGAAAAGCUCAGUCUGUGACGUUAACGUUAACAUUAACAUUGUAUGCAAAUGUGUGUACCUGAAAGAAAGUUCCAGAAGCAUGCAGGGCGAUUAGGAACCGUUUUGGUGGAACUAAUAGGCUUUUAGGAGCAAAUACAGAACAGUCUGGAAUCGAACCAGGUACUGUAUUGGUUAUCCAAUAAAAUCAUGGCUGGACAAGAGUUAAGGGGCUCAGAGAUAAAAAUGUAGGCCAUGACAUCAGAAGCAGCUGUUACAUUCUGCGGAGGCCAGUCCGCUCUUCGUCCAGUGGACGGACUUGGACCCAGUGUGAGUUGGCAUCUCUGGGCUGAGCGAAGGAUGCAGCGCCUGACGACUUUCGCUCAGUCCUCUCGUCUGCGCAAAGACUCGCCCACUAGAAGGUUCCGUUAGGGGAGUGGAAAAUUCCACGAGAUCUGGCCCGAAUCCGCCACGUCACGUGACUUCUAACCUGCAAGUGUGAAGUGCUUUUCAGACACGCGUACGCGCCACGAACAGUACCUGAAAAGGGGGAGUAACUAAGCGCUUUACCAAGACCCCGAGGAUUAGGGUACCGCUGUUGCACAACGCAAAGCGAACUCAAACAAUGUACCGCCUGCGGUUCCAGCAGACGCACAGUCAGUAAUGCAAUUUAUUAAUCACCUGUCAUUGCUUUUCAGACAUUGCUUAAUCAAUGUAAAUGGAAAUUUCUACUGCAGUUUCUGUGCAGCGUUCUUUUAAUUUUCGUCAGGUUUUGCUUACAUCCUGUAAGUGCUUGCAAGAUACAUACCAUUCGAAAUAUCAUUUGUUUUCUGGGCUGGGGGAAGGGGGGGUUAUGGCUGUGUGAAUUAAUUUCGCAAUUAAGAAGUGCUGCCUUUGAGUAAUAUAUUCAGCAGUCCACCUAGAUAAAGAAUUGUUUUUCAGCAGACGAAGCGGUCUCUUUUUAAAAAAAAAAAAAAAAAAUUUAAGGUGAAGCGUUCUAGCGCACUGUAAUUUUCCACUCCCUGUUUCGAAGAUAGGAAGUAACUUUCCAUUACAGGCAUCUCUGAUAAUCAACCACGCCUACUACGGCGCUUGGCGAAGGAGUCGCUCAGACUGCGCAGAACUACAAUACCCAGCAUUCAACGUUCUUACGUUAAAUUUAACUCUGUCGUGCGCAGCCAAGAUUCUCUGUCUCAUGUGAGACAUACACACAGGAGCGUGAUGUUUAUUAUUAAGGAGCAUUCAUGACAAAAUAGAUUCUCUCUGGUCUCGGCUCAUUGGGAUUGAUGUGCCUGCUUGUUUUUUCAAUUUGGGUUUUUAUUAGCCACGAUCACCGAGAGAUACUCUACUGUACUAGUUUUAGAGACGAUAACUCAAUAUUCGGCCUCCGAACAGUAGGGGGCGGCAGGAUUCAUCGCCACCGACACAAAACCGACCAACGAAACAACUAGUCGAAACGCUGUGGCGCGCGCGCGAUGGGACAGAAUGGUGGCUUUCGAAAACGGCACGUGAAGGCAAGCACUGACGUCAUGUUUUCAUAGCGGUAACCAAGAAUGCUGGCCAUGUUACACUAAAGAUUCGCAUUUAUUCUGUUUUGUCAGGUUGUUCUAUUACUUUUAAAAUAAUAAUUUCAUGUUUAUUGGUAAAAUGCAUUUUUAGUAAUAAACUUUCCCUGCAAUCAUUUGGCGUCGAGCUC